rnacentral:tRNA from 1 species
GGAGAGGUGGCUGAGUGGACGAAAGCGGCCGACUCGAAAUCGGCUUCCACCACAAAGUGUGGUGGACGGGGGUUCGAAUCCCUCCCUCUCCGCCU